rnacentral:rRNA from 1 species
UACAGAGGGUGCGAGCGUUAAUCGGAAUUACUGGGCGUAAAGCGCGCGUAGGCGGCUUCGCAAGUCGGAUGUGAAAUCCCCGGGCUUAACCCGGGAACUGCAUUCGAGACUGCGUUGCUAGAGUAUGGGAGAGGGAGGUGGAAUUUCAGGUGUAGCGGUGAAAUGCGUAGAUAUCUGAAGGAACAUCAGUGGCGAAAGCGACCUCCUGGACCAAUACUGACGCUCAUGUGCGAAAGCGUGGGGAGCAAACAGG